UGGGGAAUAUUGCGCAAUGGGGGAAACCCUGACGCAGCGACGCCGCGUGAGCGAUGAAGGCCUUAGGGUUGUAAAGCUCUGUUUUAGGGGACGAAUGUCCAUGUGAGUAAUAUGCGCGUGGAAUGACGGUACCCUAAGAGGAAGCCCCGGCUAACUACGUGCCAGCAGCCGCGGUAAGACGUAGGGGGCGAGCGUUGUCCGGAAUUACUGGGCGUAAAGAGCACGUAGGCGGAGACUUAAGUCAGAUGUGAAAGACCGGGGCUCAACUCCGGGGUUGCAUUUGAAACUGGGUCCCUUGAGGGCAGGAGAGGAAAGCAGAAUUCCUGGUGUAGCGGUGAAAUGCGUAGAAAUCAGGAGGAAUACCAGUGGCGAAGGCGGCUUUCUGGACUGACCCUGACGCUGAGGUGCGAAAGCGUGGGUAGCAAACA
rnacentral:rRNA from 1 species